rnacentral:lncRNA from 1 species
UAUGGUAAUUUUACAUUGUUUCCUCUUCAGGGUACAUGGUCCAGUGCAGCAAUUCUCCUGUUCAAGCAUCUCUGCCGCUUCAAGGAAUUUGUGGGCAUCGUGGAUGAAUAUGUGGAUGGUGUUCUGUACCUCUUCCUGUGUGACACAUCCACCAAGGAGGAUGUCUACUUCCACUCUGUCUUAAGGGAUAUGGGAUAUGCUGAUAUCUGUGGAGAGAACAUCCCUUCCCAGGAAUUUGAGGAACUGAAUCCUUCAGCCUUGUAUGUUCAGCCCAGUGGAAAGCAGGGCAAUGCUGAAGUGAUGGAGCCAGACCUUCGCUUGCAACAGCAAUCUCGAGAUUCAGACAGUGGAACAGCAACCUCGAAGCUGGAUGGGGCUGAGCUGUGACCAGAUGAAGAAAACAUGAAGACCAACGCCUUCCCAGGAGUUAAAUGGUUGGCCUCUGCCGUGCUCUGGGCUCUGUGACCAAGGGCCACCUCAGGAACUGGGUCCCUCCUGCCCUGCUCUCUGCAGUGUUGGCAGCUGCAUGGUUGGCCACUUCACAUGCCUACCUCCAGUGGCUGCCCAGCCUGAGAAGGAAGGUGUGAUAGGAGGGGAGCUGCUGCCAAGGGAGGCUGUCUAGAGCAGCACAGGCUCUCUGUAUGACCCUGCUGUCAGGUUUUUUUUUGUUCAGAAACGUUUAAUUUCUUGAAAAAGCCUGGAGUGUGGUAUCUCAGGUGUGGUAUCUCAGGUGUGCCCAGCAUGUGUGAUAAAUGUUAGUUUUACUUUCAGAAAAGUAGUUUGGUUUUGUUGUACCUGUGGUGUACUGAGUUACUGCUCUUUAAUAUAAUGGUUCAGGAGAACAUCCAAGUGUUACAUUCUUUUAUGUAUCCUUUAAGUUUAAGAGAGGGAAAUUGGCUGCCUAUCCCUGCUUCCUUUAGUGCAUGAGCUGUUUUGACAUUAUGUGGGGAUGUGAUUUUGGUUUUUAAUACAGUGGCUGCUUUACAUACUCCUUGCUGUGAGGAGAGCCAAAGAAACCUCCUUCCCCAAGAAGAAGAGGCUGUGAUUUGUUGGAUGUCAUGUGUACAAAGUGUCAGGAAUCUCAUCUUUAAUGAUAUGGAAUAAAGUCUGUG